UUAGGAAAAAGCAUUUAUCACUGGCCAGUAAGGAUUAAUCAGACUCUGCUCAUGUUAUCAGUUAUUUAUAUACCAUUUUCCCAACUGAGCAUCCCUGCCACCGUAAUGACCUGAAUGCAUGCAGUGCUCAGCAGCUGAGGCAAAGCUUACAAGCUGAUUUUAUUGCUUUAGACACGUUGAACAACAGAAGAGCCCAUCAGCACUGGAACAUUAGGAUGCCAGAAGUGUGUUCCAAUCAUUUGCAAUAGGAAAUCACUCUACAGUAUGAAUAUACAUUAAAUCUUGAGUCUCUUUUUUUCAGUCUAUAACAUGCAAUAAACUAUACCUUAGCAGCAGUGAUAAAUGCAUUCUCCUAACUGAAAUGCAAAUGGUAUCUUAAUUUGAUAUUUAAGUUAAAUGAUCACUAUUUCCCACUAACGGUUCUAUAGUUAACCUCUUUGACUUCUUGGCACUACUGAAAUUUGGGGGCAUAUUGAAUUACCUUCUAUCGACUGAGAAUAAUAACCUUCAUAUCCAUGAUACAGAAUAGUACUUUUAUUUUUUGAGUUGGCUCCCAGACCUUGCAUAGAGUAUUCUUAUUCUUAUAUCAUAGUAAUUUAAUUUGUGUUCACUAUGAGUCAUUGAGUUAGACAGUUAUUUAUGUC